GUAGUGGAGUUUCAGUGGUAGAAUUCUCGCCUUUCAUGUAGGCGACCCGGGUUCCAUUCCCGGCCAGUGCA
rnacentral:tRNA from 1 species